rnacentral:rRNA from 1 species
UACGUAGGGGCCUAGCGUUGUCCGGAUUUAUUGGGCGUAAAGAGCUCGUAGGCGGUUCGGUAAGUCAGGUGUGAAAUCUCCACGCUCAACGUGGAGGCGCCACCUGAAACUGACCGUGACUCGAGUCCGGUAGGGGAGUGUGGAAUUCCCGGUGUAGCGGUGAAAUGCGCAGAUAUCGGGAGGAACACCGAUGGCGAAGGCAAUCCCCUGGACCUGUACUGACGCUCAUGCACGAAAGCGUGGGGAGCAAACAGG